rnacentral:misc_RNA from 1 species
GGAAGGAUCAUUAAAAUGUAAAUUGACCCUUUACACCCUUCUGUGUAUUUUACCUGUUUUUGGAUGAUGGAAUUAGUAAAAUAUUCCAUAGAACAAAUAUUUUAAACUAUUAUUCAUAAUGAUAUUAGUCUGAUUUUGUAUAAAUAAAAGUUAAAACUUUCAACAACGGAUCUCUUGGUUCUCGCAUCGAUGAAGAACGCAGCGAAAUGCGAUAAGUAGUGUGAAUUGCAGAAUUCAGUGAAUCAUCGAAUCUUUGAACGCAUAUUGCGCCUUCUAGUAUUCUGGGAGGCAUGCCUGUUUGAGCGUCAUUAAAUCUUACUCUAGCAGUUUUGCUUGGAUAUGAAGGAAGAGUAUAUAAAGGCUCUCCUUUGAAAUGUAUUAGUAGAUGUAAAGUUGUGAAUUACACUGUUUUGAUGUAAUAGUCUUUAUUGGUUGUGAUUUGUAUACAACUAUAUCUUGCUUUAACAUAUUUUUUUUUUUAUGGUUGACCUCAAAUCAGGUAGGGAUACCCGCUGAACUUAAGCAUAUCAUAAGCGAGGGAGGUACGCUGGAGCUCACAGAUGUCUCUCCUCGGUGAGGACAGCUUUUGAACGUUUGAUCUCAAAUCAGGUAGGACUACCCGCUGAACUUAAGCAUAUCAAUAAGCGGAGGAAAAGAAACUAACAAGGAUUCCCCUAGUAACUGCGAGUGAAGCGGGAAGAGCUCAAAUUUAAAAUCUGGCGU